AGAGUUUGAUCCUGGCUCAGGAUGAACGCUGGCGGCGUGCCUAACACAUGCAAGUCGAACGAAGCACCUUACCUGAUUCUUCGGAUGAAGGUCUGGUGACUGAGUGGCGGACGGGUGAGUAACGCGUGGGUAACCUGCCCUGUACAGGGGGAUAACAGUUGGAAACGGCUGCUAAUACCGCAUAAGCGCACGAGAGGACAUCCUCUUGUGUGAAAAACUCCGGUGGUACAGGAUGGGCCCGCGUCUGAUUAGCUGGUUGGCAGGGUAACGGCCUACCAAGGCGACGAUCAGUAGCCGGUCUGAGAGGAUGAACGGCCACAUUGGAACUGAGACACGGUCCAAACUCCUACGGGAGGCAGCAGUGGGGAAUAUUGCACAAUGGGGGAAACCCUGAUGCAGCAACGCCGCGUGAGUGAAGAAGUAUUUCGGUAUGUAAAGCUCUAUCAGCAGGGAAGAUAAUGACGGUACCUGACUAAGAAGCUCCGGCUAAAUACGUGCCAGCAGCCGCGGU
rnacentral:rRNA from 1 species